rnacentral:rRNA from 1 species
UACGGAGGGUGCAAACGUUGCUCGGAAUCAUUGGGCGUAAAGCGCACGUAGGAGGUCUCGUAAGUCGGGUGUGAAAGCCCCAGGCUUAACCUGGGAAGUGCAUUCGAAACUGCGAGGCUUGAAUACUGGAGAGGGUCGCGGAAUUCCCGGUGUAGAGGUGAAAAUUCGUAGAUAUCGGGAGGAACACCAGUGGCGAAGGCGGCGACCUGGACAGAUAGUUGACGCUGAGGUGCGAAAGCGUGGGGAGCAAACAGGAU